UAAAAAUUUAAAUUUAAAAUACUAAAAUAGUAUAUAAUUAUUUAUUGAAACUUAAAUAAUUUGGCGGUAUUUUAGUUCAUUUAGAGGAAUCUGUUUAUUAAUUGAUAAUCCACGAAUGAAUUUACUUAAUUUAAAAUUUUGUAUAUCGUUGUUAAAAAAAUAUUUUUAAAUGAAAAUAAUAUUUUAAUUUUAUAAUUAAAAAUUAAAUCAGAUCAAGAUGCAGAUUAUAAUUAAGAAUAUAAUGGAUUACAAUAAAUUUAUUUAAAUGGAUUUUUUUUUGUAAUAAAAAUGUGUUUGUGGAUUUAAAUGUAAUUUUAUUUAUUUUAAUAAAAUGAUUAUAUAUUAAAAUAUGUACAUAUUGCCCGUCGCUUUCAUAAAUAAAUUGGAAUAAGUCGUAACAAAGUAGAGGUACUGGAAAGUGUUUCUAGAAAUAA
rnacentral:rRNA from 1 species